AUAAAUCUAGUACAAACCUAGUACACUUAUUUUCCAAAUAAGUAAUCGAAUAUAAUUUUCGGAUUUAUA
rnacentral:tRNA from 1 species